rnacentral:rRNA from 1 species
UUAAAUUGAAGAGUUUGAUCAUGGCUCAGAUUGAACGCUGGCGGCAGGCCUAACACAUGCAAGUCGAGCGGAAACGAGUUAUCUGAACCUUCGGGGAACGAUAA